GAGCUACUUCCUCCGUCCAACAAAAUAUGUCUCAAGUUUGUCAAAUUUUGAAUGUGUAUAGAUGCAUUCAAAUUUAGUCAAAGUUGAGACAUCUUUUAUUGGACGGAGCAAGUAGUAA
rfam:Brachypodium distachyon strain Bd21 chromosome 2, whole genome shotgun sequence.